UUUUAUGGAGAGUUUGAUCCUGGCUCAGGAUGAACGCUGGCGGCGUGCCUAAUACAUGCAAGUCGAGCGAACUGACGAGGAGCUUGCUCCUUUGACGUUAGCGGCGGACGGGUGAGUAACACGUGGGUAACCUACCUAUAAGACUGGAAUAACUCCGGGAAACCGGGGCUAAUGCCGGAUAACAUAUCGAACCGCAUGGUUCGAUAGUGAAAGACGGUCUUGCUGUCACUUAUAGAUGGACCCGCGCCGUAUUAGCUAGUUGGUGAGGUAACGGCUCACCAAGGCAACGAUA
rnacentral:rRNA from 1 species